UGGGGAAUUUUGGACAAUGGGGGCAACCCUGAUCCAGCCAUUCCGCGUGAGUGAAGAAGGCCUUCGGGUUGUAAAGCUCUUUUGUUCGGGACGAAACGGUUUAAGCUAAUACCUUAGACUACUGACGGUACCGGAAGAAUAAGCACCGGCUAACUACGUGCCAGCAGCCGCGGUAAUACGUAGGGUGCGAGCGUUAAUCGGAAUUACUGGGCGUAAAGCGUGCGCAGGCGGUUUUAUAAGCCAGAUGUGAAAGCCCCGGGCUCAACCUGGGAAUGGCAUUUGGGACUGUAAGGCUGGAGUAUGGCAGAGGAGACUAGAAUUCCUGGUGUAGCAGUGAAAUGCGUAGAUAUCAGGAGGAAUACCGAUGGCGAAGGCAGGUCUCUGGGCCAAUACUGACGCUCAUGCACGAAAGCGUGGGGAGCAAACAGGAUUAGAUACCCCCGUAGUCC
rnacentral:rRNA from 1 species